rnacentral:rRNA from 1 species
UCAGAACGAACGCUGGCGGCAGGCUUAACACAUGCAAGUCGAGCGCGUGAGCAAUCACGAGCGGCAGACGGGUGAGUAACGCGUGGGAAUCUACCCAUCUCUACGGAAUAACUCAGGGAAACUUGUGCUAAUACCGUAUACGCCCUUUUGGGGAAAGAUUUAUCGGAGAUGGAUGAGCCCGCGUUGGAUUAGCUAGUUGGUGGGGUAAAGGCCUACCAAGGCGACGAUCCAUAGCUGGUCUGAGAGGAUGAUCAGCCACAUUGGGANUGAGACACGGCCCAAACUCCUACGGGAGGCAGCAGUGGGGAAUAUUGGACAAUGGGCGCAAGCCUGAUCCAGCCAUGCCGCGUGAGUGAUGAAGGCCUUAGGGUUGUAAAGCUCUUUCACCGGAGAAGAUAAUGACGGUAUCCGAGA